AUGGCUCAGGACGAACGCUGGCGGCGUGCCUAAUACAUGCAAGUCGAGCGGACAGAUGGGAGCUUGCUCCCUGAUGUUAGCGGCGGACGGGUGAGUAACACGUGGGUAACCUGCCUGUAAGACUGGGAUAACUCCGGGAAACCGGGGCUAAUACCGGAUGCUUGUUUGAACCGCAUGGUUCAAACAUAAAAGGUGGCUUCGGCUACCACUUACAGAUGGACCCGCGGCGCAUUAGCUAGUUGGUGAGGUAAUGGCUCACCAAGGCAACGAUGCGUAGCCGACCUGAGAGGGUGAUCGGCCACACUGGGACUGAGACACGGCCCAGACUCCUACGGGAGGCAGCAGUAGGGAAUCUUCCGCAAUGGACGAAAGUCUGACGGAGCAACGCCGCGUGAGUGAUGAAGGUUUUCGGAUCGUAAAGCUCUGUUGUUAGGGAAGAACAAGUACCGUUCGAAUAGGGCGGUACCUUGACGGUACCUAACCAGAAAGCCACGGCUAACUACGUGCCAGCAGCCGCGGUAAUACGUAGGUGGCAAGCGUUGUCCGGAAUUAUUGGGCGUAAAGGGCUCGCAGGCGGUUCCUUAA
rnacentral:rRNA from 1 species